CCUACGGAAAGCAAAGGCCUGCCUAUUCCCGUAGGAAGUGACAAGCAAGGCCGGAAGAGCUAGACGUUAACAAAUUGUGAGCAGUGGGGGGCCGUGGAACUGAGGAUAAGGGGCCCUAGGAGCCCUGCCUCCACGGUGGCUGCCUCCCGGCCUGAAGCAGCCCCAAGAGCAUGCCAGGGCAAGCAGGGGGUUACCCAGGGAGUCUCCUCUAUUUUUCUCAUCCAGGCCACCUGAGCAAGAGCAGCCUUCUUUAAGAAGGGAUCCAUAGGGGCGCCUGGGUGGCUCAGUGGGUUAAGCCGCUGCCUUCCGCUCGGGUCAUGAUCUCGGGAUUCUGGGAUCGAGUCCCGCAUCGGGCUCUGUACUCAGCAGGGAGCCUGCUUCCUCCUCUCUCUCUCUCUCUCUCUCUCUCUCUGCCUGCCUCUCCAUCUACUUGUGAUCUCUCUCUGUCAAAUAAAUAAAUAAGAUCUUUUAAAAAAAAAAAAAAAAGUGGGGGGGGAUCCAUCAAGGUGCCAAGUAAAGCGUAGGCUCUGCCACGACCCGAAGGGCAGAUGCGACCCUGAGCUCCGCGCCUCCGCCUGUAACGUGGAGAGCCUCUCGCAGCCUCUCUCCUACGUCGGGUGCGAGCGCUAACCGCGGGAAGGCACAGUCCGGCCUCCUCGAAGGGGCGCCGUAAUUGCCGGCUCUUCGUUGCGGUUUGUCUCAUUCAUAAUAAAAGAUUUUAUUUAUUUAUUUGGCAGACAGAGAUCACAAGCAGGCAGAGAGAGAGGAAGAAACAGGCUUCCUGCUGAGCAGAGAGCCCGAUGUAUGGCUCGAUCCCAGGACCCUGAGAUCAUGACCUGAGCCAAAGGCAGAGGCUUUAACCCACUGAGCCACCCAGGUGCCCCUGGACUUAUUUUCAACACAAAAAUUGCCUUCAGGGUUGUCUUGAAACUUUAUUUUUGUUUCUGAGGGGAAAAACAUUGGUAUCAUCAUCUUUGGCUGAAAUGAACUCUGUGUACCACCAUUUGGCCCGGGAUUGUUCAUUCGUAUGAAUGACAAUAAUUUGAUAAUAAUUGGAAUUGUUAUGCAUAACUACACACCGGCAUGCCAGGUGUUUAGUUUGUCCCCUUGAUGGAUUUGCUUAAUUUGUUUUGAAUCUGAUGAGUCAUGAGAGCUUCUCUUUAAUGGUGUCUGUGUCUGUCUCUCACAGGAAAAUAAACAGUAUUUCCAUUCCCUUAGAUCACUGCAGCAGAGUAUAUUUUCCAAAGACUGCCACAAUAAUAUCCUUCCUCCCACAUGCUGCUCUACAAAGUAAUUUUGCCCCUGCCCCAUCAAUAGAUAGAAUCAAAUUCCCCUUCCCUUGAAUCUGGGUGGGGCUGUGAUUCACAAGGAACCAAGAGGAUGUAAUAGUACAUGAAGCCAUUCUGUGUAACUUCUGAGGCUAUAUAGCCUUACACUUCUUUGCUGGAAGAUUUGCACUGAAGCUCUGAGCCACAAAGUAGGUGGUUGGACUGUCUAAAGCUGCCAUGUUCUGCGGAAGUUCAAACCAGCUUGCUGAGAGAAGCCUAGACCCUAUGAAGAGAAAUGCCCACUACCACUCACUGAUCCCAGGCCCACUCGGUUCCACCUUUGGCUAUCACUGGACUACUACUGCCUGAGAGACCACAGCCAGAAAUGUUGUGACCCACAGAUACAGAGAUCAAAAAAUUAUUGUUAUUAUGAGUCAUUAAGCUUGGGGUAAUUUUUUUUAGAAUAGAUGACUGGAUCAUUUUAUUUUGUAAUUUAAUAACUUUUAACCUGAAGAUACUAUGUGGAUUAAUUUAAUAAAUCAGUAUGUUGGGCAUAUAUUCAUAUA